UACGUAGGGGGCAAGCGUUGUCCGGAAUCAUUGGGCGUAAAGAGCGUGUAGGCGGCCCGAUAAGUCCGCCGUGAAAGUCCAGGGCUCAACCCUGGAAUGCCGGUGGAAACUGUCGGGCUGGAGUCCGGAAGAGGCGAGUGGAAUUCCUGGUGUAGCGGUGGAAUGCGCAGAUAUCAGGAGGAACACCGGUGGCGAAGGCGAAUCCCUGGAAAAUACCUGACACUGAGGCACGAAAGCUAGGGGAGCAAACAGG
rnacentral:rRNA from 1 species